rnacentral:rRNA from 1 species
UACGUAGGGUGCAAGCGUUGUCCGGAAUUAUUGGGCGUAAAGAGCUCGUAGGCGGUCUGUCGCGUCGGCUGUGAAAACUCGGGGCUCAACUCCGAGCUUGCAGUCGAUACGGGCAGGCUAGAGUUCGGCAGGGGAGACUGGAAUUCCUGGUGUAGCGGUGAAAUGCGCAGAUAUCAGGAGGAACACCGGUGGCGAAGGCGGGUCUCUGGGCAGUAACUGACGCUGAGGAGCGAAAGCGUGGGGAGCAAACAGG